GGUAGUGUGGCCGAGCAGGCUAAGACGCUGGAUUCAGGUUCCAGUCUCCUCGGAGGCGUGGGUUUGAAUCCCACCGCUGCCA